rnacentral:rRNA from 1 species
AGCGAACGCUGGCGGCAGGCUUAACACAUGCAAGUCGAGCGGGCAUCCUUGUGGUGUCAGCGGCAGACGGGUGAGUAACGCGUGGGAACGUGCCCUUCGGUUCGGAAUAACUCUGGGAAACUUGAGCUAAUACCGGAUACGUGCGAGAGCAGAAAGGUUUAUCUGCCGAAGGAUCGGCCCGCGUCUGAUUAGCUAGUUGGUGAGGUUAUGGCUCACCAAGGCGACGAUCAGUAGCUGGUCUGAGAGGAUGAUCAGCCACACUGGGACUGAGACACGGCCCAGACUCCUACGGGAGGCAGCAGUGGGGAAUAUUGGACAAUGGGGGCAACCCUGAUCCAGCCAUGCCGCGUGAGUGAUGACGGCCUUAGGGUUGUAAAGCUCUUUUCUUCGGGACGAUAAUGACGGUACCGGAGGAAUAAGCCCCGGCUAACUUCGUG